GACGAACGCUGGCGGCGUGCUUAACACAUGCAAGUCGAACGGAAAGGCCCUGCUUUUGUGGGGUGCUCGAGUGGCGAACGGGUGAGUAACACGUGAGUAACCUGCCCUUGACUUUGGGAUAACUUCAGGAAACUGGGGCUAAUACCGGAUAGGAGCUCCUGCUGCAUGGUGGGGGUUGGAAAGUUUCGGCGGUUGGGGAUGGACUCGCGGCUUAUCAGCUUGUUGGUGGGGUAGUGGCUUACCAAGGCUUUGACGGGUAGCCGGCCUGAGAGGGUGACCGGCCACAUUGGGAAUGGGGUACGGCCCAGACUCCUACGGGGGGCAGCAGUGGGGAAUAUUGCACAAUGGGCGGAAGCCUGAUGCAGCAACGCCGCGUGCGGGAUGACGGCCUUCGGGUUGUAAACCGCUUUCGCCUGUGACGAAGCGUGAGGGACGGUAAUGGGUAAAGAAGCACCGGCUAACUACGUG
rnacentral:rRNA from 1 species